GGAUAACAGGUUGAUAUUCCUGUACCACCUAUAAUCGUUUUAAUCGAUGGGGGGACGCAGUAGGAUAGGCGAAGCGUGCGAUUGGAUUGCACGUCUAAGCAGUAAGGCUGAGUAUUAGGCAAAUCCGGUACUCGUUAAGGCUGAGCUGUGAUGGGGAGAAGACAUUGUGUCUUCGAGUCGUUGAUUUCACACUGCCGAGAAAAGCCUCUAGAUAGAAAAUAGGUGCCCGUACCGCAAACCGACACAGGUAGUCAAGAUGAGAAUUCUAAGGUGAGCGAGCGAACUCUCGUUAAGGAACUCGGCAAAAUGACCCCGUAACUUCGGGAGAAGGGGUGCUCUUUAGGGUUAACGCCCAGAAGAGCCGCAGUGAAUAGGCCCAAGCGACUGUUUAUCAAAAACACAGGUCUCUGCUAAACCGUAAGGUGAUGUAUAGGGGCUGACGCCUGCCCGGUGCUGGAAGGUUAAGAGGAGUGGUUAGCUUCUGCGAAGCUACGAAUCGAAGCCCCAGUAAACGGCGGCCGUAACUAUAACGGUCCUAAGGUAGCGAAAUUCCUUGUCGGGUAAGUUCCGACCCGCACGAAAGGCGUAACGAUUUGGGCACUGUCUCAACGAGAGACUCGGUGAAAUCAUAGUACCUGUGAAGAUGCAGGUUACCCGCGACAGGACGGAAAGACCCCGUGGAGCUUUACUGUAGCCUGAUAUUGAAAUUCGGCACAGCUUGUACAGGAUAGGUAGGAGCCUUUGAAACGUGAGCGCUAGCUUACGUGGAGGCGCUGGUGG
rnacentral:rRNA from 1 species